rnacentral:snRNA from 1 species
AGCUGAAGGUCUGGCUGUGACAUCUGUCACCCCAUUGAUUGCCAGGAUUGAUUUGGCUGAUCUCUCUAGGCCGGUGUCCCCUUCCAUCCUCACAGUUCCAUGUGUCUUACUCUUGAGCAUACUCUUGCAUGCACAGUCAAAGAAGAAGACUUUCCUGGAUAGAAGAGAACCAUUCUUUGGUCUGUUGUACUGGACCAAGCGUAGAAAGCACCAAGACAAAAGUAUGCCAGAUUGCAGGGUCAUUUAUUAU